rnacentral:rRNA from 1 species
AUUGAACGCUGGCGGCAGGCCUAACACAUGCAAGUCGAGCGAGCGGCGGACGGGUGAGUAAUGUAUGGGGACUGCCCGAUAGAGGGGGAUCACUACUGGAAACGGUGGCUAAUACCGCAUACUAUCCGAUAACCCAUAUGGGAGUAGCUAGUAGGUGGGGUAAAGGCUCACCUAGGCGACGAUCUCUAGCUGGUCUGAGAGGAUGAUCGGCCAAACGGGGACUGAAACACGGCCCAGACUCUUACGGAGGCAGCAGUGGGGAAUAUUGCACAAUGGGCGAAAGCCUGAGGCAGCAAGGCGGCGUGUAUGAAGAAGGCCUUAGGGUUGUAAAGUACUUUCAGCGGGGAGGCGUUACCGGAAGAAGAAGCACCGGCUAACUCCGUGCCAGCAGCCGCGGUAAUAC